UCUUCCGCAAUGGGCGAAAGCCUGACGGAGCAACGCCGCGUGAGUGAUGAAGGGUUUCGGCUCGUAAAACUCUGUUAUUAGGGAAGAACAUAUGUGUAAGUAACUGUGCACAUCUUGACGGUACCUAAUCAGAAAGCCACGGCUAACUACGUGCCAGCAGCCGCGGUAAUACGUAGGUGGCAAGCGUUAUCCGGAAUUAUUGGGCGUAAAGCGCGCGUAGGCGGUUUCUUAAGUCUGAUGUGAAAGCCCACGGCUCAACCGUGGAGGGUCAUUGGAAACUGGGAAACUUGAGUGCAGAAGAGGAAAGUGGAAUUCCAUGUGUAGCGGUGAAAUGCGCAGAGAUAUGGAGGAACACCAGUGGCGAAGGCGACUUUCUGGUCUGUAACUGACGCUGAUGUGCGAAAGCGUGGGGAUCAAACAGG
rnacentral:rRNA from 1 species